UUCGCAAUGCCCGAAAGGGUGACGAAGCGACGCCGCGUGUGGGAAGAAGGCCUUCGGGUUGUAAACCACUGUCGGGAGUUAGGAAAUGUAAGGGUGCUAAUAGUAUCCUUACUUGACUAAGGCUCCGGAGGAAGCCACGGCUAACUCUGUGCCAGCAGCCGCGGUAAUACAGAGGCGGCAAGCGUUGUUCGGAAUUAUUGGGCGUAAAGAGCACGUAGGCGGCCUUGUAAGUCAGUUGUGAAAGCCUUCUGCUUAACGGAAGAACAGCAGCUGAUACUGCAAGGCUAGAGUGCGGAAGGGGAGAGUGGAACUUCUGGUGGAGCGGUGAAAUGCGUAGAUAUCAGAAGGAACACCGGCGGCGAAGGCGACUCUCUGGUCCGUAACUGACGCUGAGUGUGCGAAAGCUAGGGGAGCAAACGGGAUUAGAUACCCCGGUAGUCCUAGCCGUAAAC
rnacentral:rRNA from 1 species